rnacentral:sRNA from 1 species
UCCACAGGGCCGCUUCGGCCCCAACUGCACCCACGUGUGUGGGUGUGGGCAGGGGGCAGCCUGCAACCCUGUGACCGGCACCUGCCUCUGCCCCCCGGGGAGAGCCGGCGUCCGCUGUGAGCGAGGCUGCCCCCAGAACCGGUUUGGCGUGGGCUGUGAGCACACCUGCUCCUGCAGGAACGGAGGGCUGUGCCACGCCAACAAUGGCAGCUGCUCCUGUGGCCUGGGCUGGACAGGUCUGCACUGUGAGCUGGGUGAGUGUGCGGGGCCAGCGGGACCGCAGCAUCCCCUCAGGGAUGUGCCCUGAGCUGCCAUAGGGUUGGGCAAGGCUGGUACCUGAGGACUGCCCACCCCGCCCUGCCCGCCCUGCUCUGUCCCCAGCCUGUCCCCCUGGGCGCUACGGAACCGCCUGCCUUCUGGAGUGCUCCUGCCACAACAACAGCACAUGUGAGCCCGCCACGGGCACCUGCCGCUGCGGCCCCGGCUUCUACGGCCAGGCCUGCGAGCACCCCUGUCCACCUGGCUUCCACGGGGCUGGCUGCCAGGGAGUGUGCCGGUGUCAACAUGGAGCCCCCUGCAACCCCAUCAGUGGCCGGUGCCUGUGUCCCGCUGGCUUCCACGGCCAUUUCUGUGAGAGGGGGUGUGAGCCAGGUUCAUUUGGAGAGGGCUGCCACCAGCGGUGUGACUGCGACGGGGGGUCACCCUGUGACCCUGUCACCGGUCUCUGCCUUUGCCCACCAGGGCGCUCAGGAGCCACCUGUAACCUGGAUUGCAGAAGGGGCCAGUUCGGGCCCAACUGCACCCUGCACUGUGACUGCGGGGGUGGGGCUGACUGCGACCCUGUCAGUGGGCAGUGUCACUGUCUGGAUGGCUACAUGGGGCCCACGUGCCGGGAAG